AUUGCCUCAGUAACGGCGAGUGAAGCGGCAAGAGCUCAAAUUUGAAAUCUGGCUCCUUCGGGGCCCGAGUUGUAAUUUGCAGAGGAUGCUUCGGGGGUGGUCGCCGCCUAAGUCCCCUGGAACGGGGCGUCAUAGAGGGUGAGAAUCCCGUCUUUGGUGGGCCGGCUGCUCCCGGGUGAAGCUCCUUCAACGAGUCGAGUUGUUUGGGAAUGCAGCUCUAAGCGGGUGGUAAAUUUCAUCUAAAGCUAAAUAUUGGCUGGAGACCGAUAGCGCACAAGUAGAGUGAUCGAAAGACGAAAAGUACUUUGAAAAGAGAGUUAAACAGCACGUGAAAUUGUUGAAAGGGAAGCGCUGGCUGCCAGAUUCGGCUUCAGGGGCUCACCGAGCAUGCUUGCUCGGGUACUCCCCUGGGGCCGGGUCAGCAUCGGUUCAGGCGGUCGGUCAAAGGCCCUCGGAAUGUGUCGCCUCUCGGGGCGUCUUAUAGCCGGGGGUGCAAUGCGGCCUGCCCGGACCGAGGAACGCGCUUCGGCACGGAUGCUGGCAUAAUGGCAGUCAGCGGCCCGUCUUGAAACACGGACCAAGGAGUCUAACAUCCACGCGAGUGUUCGGGUGUCAAACCCGUCCGCGCAGUGAAAGCGAACGGAGGUGAGAGCCCUUUAGGGUGCAUCAUCGACCGAUCCUGAAGUCUUCGGAUGGAUUUGAGUAGGAGCGUGGCUGUGGGGACCCGAAAGAUGGUGAACUAUGCCUGAAUAGGGUGAAGCCAGAGGAAACUCUGGUGGAGGCUCGCAGCGGUUCUGACGUGCAAAUCGAUCGUCAAAUUUGGGUAUAGGGGCGAAAGAC
rnacentral:rRNA from 1 species